CAGCCGCCGCGGUAAUACGUAGGUGGCAAGCGUUGUCCGGAAUUAUUGGGCGUAAAGGGCUCGCAGGCGGUUUCUUAAGUCUGAUGUGAAAGCCCCCGGCUCAACCGGGGAGGGUCAUUGGAAACUGGGAAACUUGAGUGCAGAAGAGGAGAGUGGAAUUCCACGUGUAGCGGUGAAAUGCGUAGAGAUGUGGAGGAACACCAGUGGCGAAGGCGACUCUCUGGCUUGUAACUGACGCUGAGGCUCGAAAGCGUGGGGAGCAAACAGGAUUAGAUACCCCCGUAGUCCCUGUCUCUUAUAA
rnacentral:rRNA from 1 species